CAGAAGCCUGGGGGCAGACAAACCCCUGCCCCACCUGCUGGCCUGGAGAUUCAUCCUUGGGUCAUUUAAACACGGAAACAAAAACCCCUAGGGGAAAGGCACACCCAGCCAACCAGGUAUUUUUGCCUGGGGUCACCCUUUUUCCCAUCCCACCAGAGAAGCCACCGCAAUGGUAUCCACUUACUGAGUCUCUACCACAUGCAGGGUAUCAUACCGUCACACCUCCUUCCCUUACAGCCACCAGCAAGAGGUGCUAAUCCAGCUGAGGCCAGGAACCCGAGGCUGCACAGCCUCCCGAUGUAAAUAUGAACAGAAGCCAGUGGGAGAACAAGAGCCACACCCUGGAGUCCCACCUAGGUCCUGCCCAGCUCCUCGCAUCCUCCACCCUAAGGCAUCACAGACCCCAGAUCUGAAGAUGUCCUCAGCAACUGGGCUAGGCUCUCUGGGGGAGUCUGAAACCCUCCCACCUCAAAAAGCUUCCCAUUUCUUUGAAUGACAAGAGAGUCUGGGCCACGACUGUCAAGGAAUACCUCCAGGCAACGCCUGUACAUCCCGUGGGGAGAGAUGCAUGCAUCCUGGGAGAGGAGACAUCUCUUCUUUCUAGAGACUGAGCAGACGACAGAGGCUUUUUCUAAAGGAGGGUGCUGCUAAAACCCACCAACUGCCCCAGGAUCCGUCUGUAGGACAGAAACAGGUACAGGGCCAGAGACGGAUGCCCUGUAGCAAAGUCAGCCCAGGGCCUGGCUGUUCAUGAAUAAGGGCUUCUGAAGAGACCACAGUUGUACCACAAGGUACAAGAGACCACAAGGGCUUCUGAAGAGACCAGUUGUACUUAGCUGAAGGUGAGAAAACAAACUUGGUAUUAGAUUGAGGGCCAACUCAGGAAGUAGUUUCAGUGCACCAGCUGUUAAUUUAUGUGAGUACAUCUAUACUUGUGUGGCUUUAUCAUCACCAACAAACAGCAAAUGUGUCCUGGCACCUGCUAUGUGCCAGGCCCAGCGCUAGGUAUUUUACAGACAUUAUCUCCUUUAAUUCUCCAAAGAGCCAUAAGCUGUGGCUAUCCAUGCUACAUUUUACUAAAAAUGAAGCAGAAGCACAGAAAGGUUGGAAAAGUUGCCCAAGCUCACAUCGCUAGUUACUGGUGGGAGCUGGGAUUCUAGGACCCUCAACAAUCUGGCCCCAGCCUGUCCCUCGGGUCUGAGCUGCCAGUGUUCAACACUUCAGAGCCUCUGCUCGCUGUUCCUGCCCCUCAAGCUCCCCACUCACCUAGUUUUGAGCUGUGUGGGUGGUUAAUGUAUGUCAUCAGCCCACAGCCUCCCUACUCCCUUCCUCCUCACCACCUAUUCAGUUCCCCCAGCUCAGAUCCCCUUCUCCCUCCAGACCAGCCAGGCAGACUCCUACCCAUCUGGCUACCUCUGCCCCACUACCAGCCUGGUCGCAUCACCUCCGCCUGCCAGGCCCCCAACCAGUGUCUUAUGGUGAUGACUUUGGCUGGCAGAGAAUCCUGGAACCUUUUCUCCACAGUGAUGUUGACACAUGUUCACUCCAAAAAUGUAAUGUUUCCAUCAAAACAUUUAGUGGGAGUAAAUUCCCACCCAUGCGACAUCUCUAAAAAAUAUAGAGUAAAUUUACUCGAACAAGCA